CAGCCGCCGCGGGAAUACGAAGGGGGCUAGCGUUGUUCGGAUUUACUGGGCGUAAAGGGCGCGUAGGCGGACUGAUAAGUCAGGGGUGAAAUCCCAAGGCUCAACCUUGGAACUGCCUUUGAUACUGUUUGUCUUGAGUUCGAGAGAGGUAAGUGGAACUGCGAGUGUAGCGGUGAAAUGCGUAGAUAUUGGGAGGAACACCAGUGGCGAAGGCGGCUUUCUGGACUGUAACUGACGCUGAGGCUCGAAAGCCAGGGGAGCGAACGGGAUUAGAUACCCCUGCAGUCCCUGUCUCUUAUAU
rnacentral:rRNA from 1 species